UACGUAGGGGCAAGCGUUGUCCGGAAUCAUUGGGCGUAAAGCGCGCGUAGGCGGCCCGGUAAGUCCGCUGUAAAAGUCCAGGGCUCAACCCUGGAAAGCCGGUGGAUACUGUCGGGCUAGAGUCCGGAAGAGGCGAGUGGAAUUCCCGGUGUAGCGGUGAAAUGCGCAGAUAUCGGGAGGAACACCAAUGGCGAAGGCAGCUCGCUGGGACGUUACUGACGCUGAGGCACGAAAGCGUGGGGAGCAAACAGG
rnacentral:rRNA from 1 species